ACAUCUUUUCAACUCCAGGAUUCUCAGCAACAAUGGAAUAACUCAACUCCCAGCAAAUGUUUUCUCAGGACUUACAUCUCUACAGGUGCUGGAUCUCAGCUACAAUGAAAUAACUCAACUCUCAGCAAAUGUUUUCUCAGGACUUACCUCU